rnacentral:rRNA from 1 species
UGUGAACUCGAAGAGUAGGGCGGGACACGUGGUAUCCUGUCUGAAUAUGGGGGGACCAUCCUCCAAGGCUAAAUACUCCUGACUGACCGAUAGUGAACCAGUACCGUGAGGGAAAGGCGAAAAGAACCCCGGCGAGGGGAGUGAAAAAGAACCUGAAACCGUGUACGUACAAGCAGUGGGAGCACCUUCGGGUGUGACUGCGUACCUUUUGUAUAAUGGGUCAGCGACUUAUAUUCUGUAGCAAGGUUAACCGUAUAGGGGAGCCGCAGGGAAACCGAGUCUUAACUGGGCGUUAAGUUGCAGGGUAUAGACCCGAAACCCGGUGAUCUAGCCAUGGGCAGGUUGAAGGUUGGGUAACACUAACUGGAGGACCGAACCGACUAAUGUUGAAAAAUUAGCGGAUGACUUGUGGCUGGGGGUGAAAGGCCAAUCAAACCGGGAGAUAGCUGGUUCUCCCCGAAAGCUAUUUAGGUAGCGCCUCGUGAACUCAUCUUCGGGGGUAGAGCACUGUUUCGGCUAGGGGGUCAUCCCGACUUACCAACCCGAUGCAAACUACGAAUACCGAAGAAUGUUAUCACGGGAGACACACGGCGGGUGCUAACGUCCGUCGUGAAGAGGGAAACAACCCAGACCGCCAGCUAAGGUCCCAAAGUCAUGGUUAAGUGGGAAACGAUGUGGGAAGGCACAGACAGCCAGGAUGUUGGCUUAGAAGCAGCCAUCAUUUAAAGAAAGCGUAAUAGCUCACUGGUCGAGUCGGCCUGCGCGGAAGAUGUAACGGGGCUAAACCAUGCACCGAAGCUGCGGCAGCGACACUAUGUGUUGUUGGGUAGGGGAGCGUUCUGUAAGCCUGCGAAGGUGUGCUGUGAGGCAUGCUGGAGGUAUCAGAAGUGCGAAUGCUGACAUAAGUAACGAUAAAGCGGGUGAAAAGCCCGCUCGCCGGAAGACCAAGGGUUCCUGUCCAACGUUAAUCGGGGCAGGGUGAGUCGACCCCUAAGGCGAGGCCGAAAGGCGUAGUCGAUGGGAAACAGGUUAAUAUUCCUGUACUUGGUGUUACUGCGAAGGGGGGACGGAGAAGGCUAUGUUAGCCGGGCGACGGUUGUCCCGGUUUAAGCAUGUAGGCUGGUUAUCCAGGCAAAUCCGGAUAAUCAAGGCUGAGGUGUGAUGACGAGGCACUACGGUGCUGAAGUAACAAAUGCCCUGCUUC